rnacentral:rRNA from 2 species
GUAGUGAACCUGCGGAAGGAUCAUUA